rnacentral:lncRNA from 1 species
UGGAGAACUAACUUGCCUCUGUCAAUCCCAUAUGAUCUCCCUGCCAAGUGCCAGCAUCAAAUGCCAACCAUCCGCUCUACAGUAAGGUAAAUAAGUCAUUUAGUCAGGAACUCUGCACAUUUACCUCUGCAUUUAUCAAAUAUUUGUUGAAGGAAAUAAUAAAAGAAGUGAGGAGGAAGAAGAGGUUUCCUGGGAGAAAGCACUCGAGGAGCAAUAGGUGUCCUCUUUCAUUUCCACUAAAUAUGCUGCUCAAUGCCUUGUGGCAUAACAGAAUCAAAACUUUUCAGAUGCCCUGCCGCUUUAACAAGACCCAGGAUAUGUCAAAAUGGCUCCCACAGAACUUUCAUUUGAUCUUAUCUUUCGCUGUCAC